rnacentral:misc_RNA from 1 species
CCAAUAGCGUAUAUUAAAGUUGUUGUGGUUAAAAAGCUCGUAGUUGAACCUUGGGCCUGGCUGGCCGGUCCGCCUCACCGCGUGUACUGGUCCGGCCGGGCCUUUCCCUCUGUGGAACCCCAUGCCCUUCACUGGGUGUGGCGGGGAAACAGGACUUUUACUGUGAAAAAAUUAGAGUGCUCCAGGCAGGCCUAUGCUCGAAUACAUUAGCAUGGAAUAAUAGAAUAGGACGUGUGGUUCUAUUUUGUUGGUUUCUAGGACCGCCGUAAUGAUUAAUAGGGACAGUCGGGGGCAUCAGUAUUCAAUUGUCAGAGGUGAAAUGCUUGGAUUUAUUGAAGACUAACUACUGCGAAAGCAUUUGCCAAGGAUGUUUUCAUUAAUCAGGAACGAAAGUUAGGGGAUCGAAGACGAUCAGAUACCGUCGUAGUCUUAACCAUAAACUAUGCCGACUAGGGAUCGGACGGUGUUAUUUUUUGACCCGUUCGGCACCUUACG